AGCAACACCCCUUCCUCUCCCUCCUCCUCACCCAGCCGCCUUUCAUCACUCCUUUGUGCUUGGUGUCAAAUAGGAGAGUUCUGUCCCGUUUAGGAGUGGCCGCUCUCUGGAGAAGUGUGACUGUUGUGGGUGGGGUCUGUUUCUCCAGUUCUCUAUAUUUCUUCCUACUCAAGCUUCUCGGUCACUGUGAAUCAUGAGUCUGAAACCAGGCCUCUAAGGGCUGCUUCUUUGGCCUGCCAUCACUGGUCAUAUUCUGGAAGUGUUCGGCUUGCUUUGGUGACGUUGGAAUUACAUGGUAAUUAGAAUGUGACAGAAACAUAAACUAGGCUGAUAAAAGCAAACCCCUUUACAUGUUUCAAAAACUUGAGCUGAAAAAGGAGGGUUUGUUUAUUCUGGCACUUGUAUCAUCAUGGAGGUGCAUGCAUUUCUUGCUGUUGCCCAACAUCUACAUGUACCUGGAAGGUUGGCCGUGGUUUGUUCUGAGGUUCGGAGUCCAGUCACCCUACAUUGGUCCCCACAAGUGUCACCUACAGGGGACACCCUUGCUGUUGUCCAGCCCAACUCAGCUGCCUUGUCCUAGUCCCUAGGUGGUGUGCUCACGGAAUUCCAAUGACCUUUCAUCUCUACUUUUGCCAUUAAGUUCCUUUUGAAAUGGCCAAAGUUAAGGAGGAAUAAGUGAUUUAAAAAAUAGCAAAGAGGUUCAUUUUUAAUCCUUUUAGAAAUUACUUUGGGGUUGUUGCUAUUUUGGAUAUCUGUUCUGUAAAUAAAAUGGAAUUGAGUGGUUCCCGGGGUCUUGGAGCUUUCUAUCCCUCCUACUUCUGUUGAUUGGCUAGGAGUCAGACAGGUCCCACUGGCCAAAUGCGGAUGGGUUUGGCUGUGCUAAGAGCUUUUGAACUACACUGGGCUUAUGGUGAGGGAUUUUAGUGUCUAUUGAUUGGUCGAGAGCUAUUUAGCCUCUUUCCCUUAAAAGUACAGGCUGAGGGCUGGCCCUAUGUAUGAAGGAGUAGAAGAUAAGUGUGGUUAAGAAGAGAUACAUGUAUCUUCAGGUUUCUGUAGUAGCUCAAACCCUUGUCAGAGAUGUCAUCACAUUUUUAGUGCUGAUUUAUAGGCCAUGCAAUUGCAUACUGUCAUUUUAAUAGCCCGUGAAAUUGGGGACUCAAGUGUUUCUUUGUAUUUUUGCUUCGUACAGGUGAAAUGUAGUCAGGCAAGUUUGGUUAAACCUAAUUUUAAUAAUCAUUGUAGAUAUCCUAAAUGUUUAAGAAAACAAAAGGAAGUCCCUCCACUCUCAAAAAUUAACACAUAAUUUUAAAAAAUCUAUUCUGUUUUCCCUUUAGAUAGUAGAAGUGGAAACUGAUUAGGAUCAGCCUUUGGGUUCUUUUCAAGUGAGUUUCAAAGUUAUGCGUGUCAUUUUUCCUCUAAAACUAUAGCAGUGAUAUGAACAUCAUUCAGGUUUGGAUUAGUUUGAGAAAAGAGAUUUUGUUCUUAGAGCCUUUUCUCACGAUUUUUAUUCAUUCACUUUGGCAUUAGGUAAGUUCUUUUUGUUCGUUUCUGUGGGGCAAAAACAUGAGGGAAAUAUUAAUGUUGAUAAGGUUUCUGAAGUUGAGAGAUGUCAGUAUGAGAUUAUCCUGUGCGUGUAGACUUCUUUUCUCUUCCUGAUAGGGUUACAAAUUCCCCCAGUUGCUGUAGGCACUGUGAAUUAAACUAGUACAGAUUUCAGAUGCUUAUUGAAUCCACAUCCAGUUAAAUGCAACGCAUUAAAAUUUUGUACAUUUGAAAAUCAGAAGAAUCUUGGUGAGAGCUUGGGAGGGUGGGCAGAGAUUUGUUAACAUUCUUUUUUUUUCUGUGAUGUUUCUUCAUUCCCUAGAGUUCUGGAGACACUUUUGUUGUGAUAAUAUUUUUUUGGAAUAUGUGGGUAUUCUUCCUAAUUAUUAUUUUUGUGUUCCUUUGGUGGGUGGUUCUGGGCCAUGGGAAAGUUGCUAAGGCCCACAAGCAAGAUUUUACGAAUAAAGAUAUGAGUACCUAAAGAAGGGACUGUCCAGUCAUGCCAGGGGAAGGUUUGGGUUAGAAUCAAGUAGAAGAAAAAUGUGUCUGUUUAAUGCCACUUUCUCAGGUUUUUGAUUUCUCACUUUCUAUUUUCAAAAAUAUACACACACCCCUCCUUUUCCCCUAUAGCAAGUGGAUGGAAAUUUUUCUAGAUAAUCAGACCAGUAGGGAACUCUGUUAAUAGGUUCCAGCCACAGGCAUUGGAAUUGAGGGCAAGUAGAACGAGGAUGCUUGUCCCCAAAGAUGCCAAUUCUCAGCGCUGGGGGAGAAGGUGCAGUUUGGUCACGUGGGGGUGACAUGGGAAUCUUUCUUUAGGGUGCUGUGGGACCAGUGACUGGCCAGCAGAAGCCAGCCAGGGUUAUGGAUCAUGAGUUAUGGAUCACUAGCAGGACUGGCAGAAUUGAACCAGGGUGGGGGAGAACUUGCUUCAUGGAGUGGUCUCCCCAGGACUCAAUAA